rnacentral:lncRNA from 1 species
AGAGUUUGUGUAAUAGAUAUUAAACAAGUGAGGGUAAAAAUGUCAUUCUGGAGAGAUGAUGUGUUGGUGAGUUGGUGAAAAAAAAGGGAGGGAAGUUUGGCGCGCUGAUGAGGAUAUAUCGCGGUGACAAUCAUCGCCGCUAAUACUCUACUUUUUUACCGGCGACAAAUUGUCGCCGCUAUAUUUUCUGUUUCAGUGGCGACUCUUAUAUGUCGCUGCCAUUUUAUAUCCAUUGCGGGCGACAAACAAAUAUCGCCACCAAUUUCUAUGCAUUGGCGGCGACAAAUAAUUGUCGCCACCAUCUUCUAUGCAUUGACGGCGACAAAUAAAUGUCGCCACCAUAUAAUUUACAUUAGUGGCGACAUUCCCUGUCGCCAUCAUAAAGUCGCCACUAAAAACUACUUUUGUUGUAGUGUACUUUCUUGGCUGCAUUUAUUAGUUGUUGAUAGACAUGUAGAGCAGGUUGGCAUUUAUAUUUCAGUAUCUUUGUGGAACUUGGGUCCAGGCAACACAUCGACUCCUUUGUCAUGUGUUUCGAUCUAGUUGAUCAUGGUUCGGCGUUGUACGCCCUAGCAUCUAUCAUGGUUCGGCGUUAUACGCCCUUGUUGUUGGCUUCGGCCUAGGCACCGGCUUCAGCCGGUUUUUGUUUGAGCAUACCAGCAUGACUUAGUCACAGUACUUGAGGGUAUUCAUGAUACUGGAUCGGUUUGGCCACUGAUCGGAGGUGUACUUAUCCGGAUGGGUCGUUUUGUGGGGUGGAUGGAUCAUGUUGGUGCAGUUAGUGACAGGCAGCGCUUGAGGUCUGCGAACCAAUAUAGCAGGCAUAGAUUGGGUACAGUUUUUGGUUCAGUACAUUGAGGUAUUCUUUGCAUUAUUUUCUAUACAGUAGCAGGUUUAUUUAUUGCUUCUUAUUUAUCUGUUGUAGCUACUGUAGACUCUUCAUAUCAGCAUAUAUACUCGUUUAUCUAUCUCCUUUGGUUUCCGGUGAUUACGGCUUGCCUUCGUGGCUCUGUCGUACCCACUAGGUAACCAUGGUUGUGGUUUCUCACCCCCCAUUUUCCC